UACGAGGGGGGCAAGCGUUGUUCGGAAUUAUUGGGCGUAAAGGGCGCGUAGGCGGCUAGAUGUGUCAAAGGUGAAAUCCCUCGGCUCAACUGAGGAACUGCCUUUGAAACUGUCUGGCUUGAGGCCGGGAGAGGGUAGCGGAAUUCCCAGUGUAGCGGUGAAAUGCGUAGAUAUUGGGAGGAACACCAGUGGCGAAGGCGGCUACCUGGACCGGUUCUGACGCUGAGGCGCGAAAGCGUGGGUAGCAAACAGG
rnacentral:rRNA from 1 species